rnacentral:rRNA from 1 species
UACGAAGGGGGCUAGCGUUGCUCGGAAUUACUGGGCGUAAAGGGAGCGUAGGCGGACAUUUAAGUCAGGGGUGAAAUCCCGAGGCUCAACCUCGGAACUGCCUUUGAUACUGGGUGUCUUGAGUAUGAGAGAGGUGUGUGGAACUCCGAGUGUAGAGGUGAAAUUCGUAGAUAUUCGGAAGAACACCAGUGGCGAAGGCGACACACUGGCUCAUUACUGACGCUGAGGCUCGAAAGCGUGGGGAGCAAACAGG